UAAGGGUUAUUUUAAUUUGAGAAUAUUUAGCUGUUAACUAAAAGGUUGUUUCCCUUAAG
rnacentral:tRNA from 1 species